AACCAUUGCAUCAGAUAUAGUGUCCAACCAAGUACAUCAAUACCUAUUCUAAAAACAGAAGCAAAUAUAACAUAUUUAAAAAGAUAAGUUUAGAAAACUGGGUUGCCUCCCAGGUAGCGCUUGUUUAACGUCACGAGCCUGACCCAAACCUUUCUAGCACCCAUCAGUAGGUGCAAAACUUACCGUCACCCAUCAGUAGGUGUACCUUCCCGUAUCCUUCAGUAGAUACCUAAAUCUUCUAGCAUCCCUCAGUAGAUUUUAUCCCAGUGGCAUUCAUCAGUAAAUGUUGUUAGUGACAUCCAUCAGUAGAUGUCUAACCAUAUAGCAUCCAUCAGUAGAUGCUAAUCUUUCUUAUCUUCAUUGGCA
rnacentral:lncRNA from 1 species